rnacentral:sRNA from 1 species
AUGCGGCGGAAAUUCGUGGCGAGACGGAUCUGGGUUUCCGGACUCGUCUCGGCGAAGCGGUUGAGCUC